GACGAACGCUGGCGGCGUGCCUAAUACAUGCAAGUCGAGCGAGACUCUUCGGAGUCUAGCGGCGGACGGGUGAGUAACACGUGGGCAACCUGCCUGUAAGACUGGGAUAACACCGGGAAACCGGUGCUAAUACCGGAUAAUCCUUUUCCUCUCAUGAGGAAAAGCUGAAAGUCGGUUUCGGCUGACACUUACAGAUGGGCCCGCGGCGCAUUAGCUAGUUGGUGAGGUAACGGCUCACCAAGGCGACGAUGCGUAGCCGACCUGAGAGGGUGAUCGGCCACACUGGGACUGAGACACGGCCCAGACUCCUACGGGAGGCAGCAGUAGGGAAUCUUCCACAAUGGACGAAAGUCUGAUGGAGCAACGCCGCGUGAGCGAUGAAGGCCUUCGGGUCGUAAAGCUCUGUUGUUAGGGAAGAACAAGUAUCGGAGUAACUGCCGGUACCUUGACGGUACCUAACCAGAAAGCCACAGCUAACUACGUGCCAGCAGCCGCAGUAAUAC
rnacentral:rRNA from 1 species